rnacentral:rRNA from 1 species
UACGUAGGGCGCAAGCGUUGUCCGGAAUUAUUGGGCGUAAAGAGCUCGUAGGUGGUUUGUCGCGUCUGCCGUGAAAGCCCGGGGCUUAACUCCGGGUCUGCGGUGGAUACGGGCAGACUAGAGGCAGGUAGGGGGAGAACGGAAUUCCCGGUGUAGCGGUGAAAUGCGCAGAUAUCGGGAGGAACACCAGUGGCGAAGGCGGCUCACUGGCCCGGUACUGACGCUGAGGUGCGAAAGCGUGGGGAGCAAACAGGG